CUGGUUGAUCCUGCCAGUAGUCAUAUGCUUGUCUCAAAGAUUAAGCCAUGCAUGUAUAAGUAUAAAUGGUAUACAAUGAAACUGCGAAUGGCUCAUUAAAACAGUUAUAGUUUAUUUGGUAAUCAACUUUACAUGGAUAACCGUGGUAAUUCUAGAGCUAAUACAUGCUGGAGUGCCCGACUCACGAAGGGCCGUAUUUAUUAGAUAUCAGCCAAUAAGCAUCUGCUAUUGUGGUGACUCAUAGUAACUUAAUCGGAUCGCAUGGGCUUGCCCCGCGACAAACCAUUCAAGUUUCUGCCCCAUCAUGCUUUCAAUGGUAGUGUAUUGGACUACCAUGGCUUUCACGGGUAACGGAGGAUUAGGGUUCGAUUCCGGAGAGGGAGCCUGAGAAACGGCUACCACUCCCACGGAAGGCAGCAGGCGCGUAAAUUACCCAAUCCUGACACAGGGAGGUAGUGACAAGAAAUAACAAUGCCGGGCUCUCACGAGUCUGGCAAUUGGAAUGAGAACAAUUUAAAUCCCUUAUCGAGGAUCCAUUGGAGGGCAAGUCUGG
rnacentral:rRNA from 1 species